CGCUGGCGGCGUGCUUAACACAUGCAAGUCGAACGGAAAGGCCCUGCUUUUGUGGGGUGCUCGAGUGGCGAACGGGUGAGUAACACGUGAGUAACCUGCCCUUGACUUUGGGAUAACUUCAGGAAACUGGGGCUAAUACCGGAUAGGAGCUCCUGCUGCAUGGUGGGGGUUGGAAAGUUUCGGCGGUUGGGGAUGGACUCGCGGCUUAUCAGCUUGUUGGUGGGGUAGUGGCUUACCAAGGCUUUGACGGGUAGCCGGCCUGAGAGGGUGACCGGCCACAUUGGGACUGAGAUACGGCCCAGACUCCUACGGGAGGCAGCAGUGGGGAAUAUUGCACAAUGGGCGGAAGCCUGAUGCAGCAACGCCGCGUGCGGGAUGACGGCCUUCGGGUUGCAAACCGCUUUCGCCUGUGACGAAGCGUGAGUGACGGUAAUGGGUAAAGAAGCACCGGCUAACUACGUGCCAGCAGCCGCGGUGAUACGUAGGGUGCGAGCGUUGUCCGGAUUUAUUGGGCGUAAAGGGCUCGUAGGUGGUUGAUCGCGUCGGAAGUGUAAUCUUGGGGCUUAACCCUGAGCGUGCUUUCGAUACGGGUUGACUUGAGGAAGGUAGGGGAGAAUGGAAUUCCUGGUGGAGCGGUGGAAUGCGCAGAUAUCAGGAGGAACACCAGUGGCGAAGGCGGUUCUCUGGGCCUUUCCUGACGCUGAGGAGCGAAAGCGUGGGGAGCGAACAGGCUUAGAUACCCUGGUAGUCCACGCUGUAAACGGUGGGUACUAGGUGUGGGGUCCAUUCCACGGGUUCCGUGCCGUAGCUAACGCUUUAAGUACCCCGCCUGGGGAGUACGGCCGCAAGGCUAAAACUCAAAGGAAUUGACGGGGCCCCGCACAAGCGGCGGAGCAUGCGGAUUAAUUCGAUGCAACGCGUAGAACCUUACCUGGGUUUGACAUGGAUCGGGAGUGCUCAGAGAUGGGUGUGCCUCUUUUGGGGUCGGUUCACAGGUGGUGCAUGGCUGUCGUCAGCUCGUGUCGUGAGAUGUUGGGUUAAGUCCCGCAACGAGCGCAACCCUUGUUCACUGUUGCCAGCACGUUAUGGUGGGGACUCAGUGGAGACCGCCGGGGUCAACUCGGAGGAAGGUGGGGAUGACGUCAAGUCAUCAUGCCCCUUAUGUCCAGGGCUUCACGCAUGCUACAAUGGCUGGUACAGAGAGUGGCGAGCCUGUGAGGGUGAGCGAAUCUCGGAAAGCCGGUCUCAGUUCGGAUUGGGGUCUGCAACUCGACCUCAUGAAGUCGGAGUCGCUAGUAAUCGCAGAUCAGCAACGCUGCGGUGAAUACGUUCCCGGGGCUUGUACACACCGCCCGUCAAGUCAUGAAAGUUGGUAACACCCGAAGCCGGUGGCCUAACCGUUGUGGGGGAGCCGUCGAAGGUGGGACUGGUGAUUAGGA
rnacentral:rRNA from 1 species